UGCGACCCCAGGUCAGGCGGGGCUACCCGCUGAGUUU
rnacentral:rRNA from 1 species